rnacentral:rRNA from 1 species
GACGAACGCUGGCGGCGUGCUUAACACAUGCAAGUCGAACGGUGAAGCACCUUCCUUUUGGUGGGUGUGGAUGAGUGGCGAACGGGUGAGUAACACGUGAGUAACCUGCCCCCUUCUUCUGGAUAACCGCAUGAAAGUGUGGCUAAUACGGGAUAUUCUGGGUCUGUCGCAUGGCGGGCCUGGGAAAGAUAUUGUUUCGGUGGGGGAUGGGCUCGCGGUCUAUCAGCUUGUUGGUGGGGUGAUGGCCUACCAAGGCGGUGACGGGUAGCCGGCCUGAGAGGGUGGACGGUCACACUGGGACUGAGACACGGCCCAGACUCCUACGGGAGGCAGCAGUGGGGAAUAUUGCACAAUGGGCGCAAGCCUGAUGCAGCGACGCCGCGUGAGGGAUGGAGGCCUUCGGGUUGUAAACCUCUUUCGCCAGUGAAGCAGGCCUGUCCCUUUUGUGGGUGGGCUGACGGUAGCUGGAUAAGAAGCGCCGGCUAACUACGUG